CACACCAACGGGUUGUGAUCUGUGAGCAAGGAAAAAGGUUGUCCAUAUAGAUACGGCUGCAACUUUCUGAGGGCCCACACCACGGCCAGGCAUUCUUUCUCGAUGGCGGUGUAGCUCACUUCCCGUGGUAAAUGUUUCCGGCUUAGAUACGCUACGGGAUGUUCUCCGCCAUCUGCUACAACUUGGCUCAUCACUGCUCCCAAUCCAAACAUUGAAGCGUCUGUGUGGACAAGAAAUAGUUUAGUUGGAUCAGGAGCAGCAAGUACAGGUGCAUUAGUUAGAGCCGUCUUGAGUUGGUUAAAUGCCUGAUCACACUCUGGGGCCCAGACGACCUGUCGAGGAAGGUUCUUGUGGGCCAAGUCAGUCAAGGGUUUGGUCAGGGCACUGUAAUUAG